rnacentral:rRNA from 1 species
CCUACGGGUGACAGCAGUGGGGAAUAUUGCACAAUGGGGGAAACCCUGAUGCAGCAACGCCGCGUGAGUGAAGAAGUAUUUCGGUAUGUAAAGCUCUAUCAGCAGGGAAGAAGAUGACGGUACCUGAUUAAGAAGCCCCGGCUAACUACGUGCCAGCAGCCGCGGUAAUACGUAGGGGGCAAGCGUUAUCCGGAUUUACUGGGUGUAAAGGGAGCGCAGACGGCAGUGCAAGUCUGGAGUGAAAGCCCGGGGCCCAACCCCGGAACUGCUCUGGAAACUGUAGUUCUUGAGUACUGGAGAGGCAGACGGAAUUCCUAGUGUAGCGGUGAAAUGCGUAGAUAUUAGGAGGAACACCAGUGGCGAAGGCGGUCUGCUGGACAGCAACUGACGCUGAGGCGCGAAAGCGUGGGGAGCAAACAGGAUUAGAUACCCCUGUAGUC